CCUAAGGAAGCGAGCAAACGGACGCUUACGAAGCGUAGCUGUGCAGAUCUGCAGCACCGGCACCACCUCGAGGCGACAGAGCGAAGCGCACGGAAAAGCGGCUGUGCACCCGAUAGCGAAGGAAGACCGCCACGGUAAAGCCACCUCUAUUCACUCAAGUGCAUGCGCGCGCAUACUGACGUACACAUCCUGGCGGGGGAAGAAAGAGAGAGACAAACGCACGCAGAGGGCACAAACACGCUCCCUUUCAGAAACACAGGUGCGGCGGCGAACACAACAGAGGCUCGCUGAUCCUUUUCCCCUUUUCUCCCUCAGGUCAGACAUGCCUGAGAGCGAGGACGAGCGCCGGCUGCGCAAGGAGAAGAGGCGGAGCGCGGCCCGCAAGGCUGACGAGGCAGAGAAGAAGGGCACAGCGACUUCCGCAGAGGCAUCUUCGCCAUCGAGGAUACCCUCGCAAACGACGGCAACUGCGAGCGCCACCACAGCUGCCCCUUCCGCUGAUGCGCAGGUUGAGCGGAAGGAAACGGAGGAGGAGCGACGCAUCAGGAAGGAAAAGAAGCGAGCGCAGCGUGAGGCCCAGAAGCAGCAAGAGGCAGCCGCAGCCGCAGCCGCAGACGCCGCUGCUGCCACUGCCACUGCCUCUGCACCUCCUAUCGUCGAUGCGAUCGCUCCCAACGCUAAACAGUCAAAGGAAGAGCGCCGCGCAGCCAGGAAGAAGGAUCGCUGUAGCGGCGAUCAAGCGGACGACGCGGACGCGGCACUGCUAAACGCGAUAGAGGCGGAGAACAACGCCGUCGUGGCACAGAGCAUCCGGAACAGUCGCAAUUUCGCCACAGCGGAGCUGAAGAGAGUGACGGAAGAAAAGGAGCGGAAACGGCUCGAGUCGGCUGAGGAGCGGGCGGAGCGGAAGCGCGCGGAGCGUGAAGAGCGUCGUCUCCUCCGUCGCGCCGCCGCGGCCGGUGCAGCAGAAGGAAAGGGCGACGCCGAAGAUGGCGGCGCUUCGGCGGCCGACGCCGCUGGCAGGGUGGCGCUGAGUCCGGUGACUGCGUUUGAUCCGAGUGAGCUACAGCGGCAGGCGUAUCGUGCACAGUUCCAGAAGGACCUGACGCGAGCCACAGCGCUGCGCCGCAUGGUGGACUUUGAUAGCAGCGGCGGUGUCGUGCUGGACCUCGCACCACAGAGCGCCUACGAUUUGUACAUACGCGACUUUGGCCAGAGUGGACGCGAACAGGUCGGAGUGCAGGCGCCGCCCGAGGAGGAACGGCUGGACGCUGGCACGCAGGCCGAGCGGGGCAAGCUGCGGGCUCGCGGGGCACAGGCGCCGGAUGAUCUCGGCCUCUGCCCGGAAGAAGAGGCGGAGAGGCAGUUCUUCCAACUGCGGCGCAAGGCGCUGCUACGCAAUGGCAGAGGCGGUGGCGCCGCAGCUGGCACUGGCGCCGCGGCUGCGGGCGAAGGUGACGACGGGGUAGAUGGCGAGGAGGAUGGGGAGGUGGCUGCGAAGUCAGCUGCAAAUGGAGUUGGUAAGAAAGUAACUCGUUCGGUAGACGCGGCAGUGCUGGAGCGCUUCCUCACGAACACGCUUUCGGUGAUGAUCGCCGCUCUGGAUGAGAACAACUCUUUGGUGUCGGGAGCGGCGACCGGCGCAGACGUUCCGUCGGUGGAGAGCUCGAAGCCGAAGGCGCCGACAGCGUUCUCAUCCUCGUGCACAACCUUCUGCUGGCGCGGCACGCGCAACCGCCCCGUCGUGCAGGUGCUGGUGAACCCCUCCAACCCUCGCCAGCUCAUUGCCCUGCACGGGGCCGUUGAUGGAACGGGGCCGUCUCCGACUCUCGAUACGUUCCUCUCCGUGCUGCUGCUGUGGAGCGUGCACGACGCCACGACGCCGGACCGGGUGCUCGUCUCCUGCUCGUCUGUCACGUGCAUGUGCGUCAGCCCCUCUCGCCCCCACCUCGUCUACGGCGGCACUGCGGACGGCAACGCGUGCAUCUGGAACCUUCGCGAGCCGGACCGCCUGCACCUCUCCGCCGGCUGCUACGAGCGAGCCGUCUUCCACUUGCCUUCCUACAACACGGGCUGGCAGGUGGGCGGCCACACUGCCCCGGUGCGGCAGGUCCGCGUUGCGGGGUACAACACCACUUCCGUCGCCACCCGCAAGGAGGAGCAGUACGAGCAGCUCGUCUCAAUGGACGACACCGGCGUCAUGUGCUACUGGGCACUGACAGAGAAGCGCGACCCAUGCGAGAUGAACAGCGGCAGCCCUGGCGCCGCUGCCGCGACCGGACUCGGUUUGCUCGACAGUGACUACGGUCUACACCCCGGCAGCUAUGUGAGCCUGCGUCUCGUCAAGGACUCAGCGGCUGCGAGUGCCGCUGCUAGCUCUGUGGUUCAGCAACACGACGAGGACGGCGACGCUGCGGUGGCCUACAGUGCCGGCGUCACCGGUGGUUUUGACUUUGCGCCAUCUGACAGCACCCAGUGCGUUCUGACCGCUCCUCAGGGCGUCGUUCGAUGCAGUCGCAUUGGGGGGAUCGCGUCGCCGUCUCUGUACGGCCCUUCCUGCGGCAACAGCCACCUGCCCUACGCCGCGGCGUCGGGAGACAAGCCACAUCAUGUGAAGACGGUUGCCGUGCCAUGCUGUGUGCAGUAUAGCAUCCUGGAUACGCGGUGGUUUGUGGUGGGCUACGAGGACGGCACCGUGCGGCUCUACCUUCAGCACGAGGCAACGCCGCAGGUGACAGUGGAGGUGGGCAAUCAGCCUAUCGUGGCAGUCUGCUGCAGCGGCGCGAUACCGUGGGUGGUGUGGGCGCUGGACGAGAGCGGCGAGUUGCACCUGAUCGACUUUGCCUACCACCGCCGUCAGGCACCGCGUCUCUCGCACACGCUGACGCAGCCGGACACUGGCGUGUGCACCUGCAUUGAUGUGUUAUCCAAGAGCGAAAAGGCAGAUCAGCACUUCCUCGUCGCGGGGUUCGAGAAGGGCGUGAUGCAGAUGCACAUCGUCGAUGUGGAGAAGCUGCGCGUGGCCCACUCGGAGCGCGACGAACGUUGGAUCUGACGGCAAUGCACCGAGCGAAAGAGGAUCGCUGUGGGUGUAGGGUCGGCAGAUUGUGAUGCCGCUCCGUUUUCUGUUGUUUCUACCUGAUGUACGCUAGAGCGAUGGGGCGACGGCUCUGUGGACGACGGGGCUACGUGGAGGGCUGCGUGCGCGUGUACGCGAACCCGCCAAACUGCCUGUGCGCCUUCCUCCCACCGAUUCCUUCCGUUCGCGUUUUGUUUUUGUGCUGUUUGGUGAUGUUGACAAGGGACCCUCGGCGGCGCGGCCACCUCCUGCCCUCCGACAUCCGACCAGCGACGGCAUCGUUCGCGCCGACCGCGGGAGCAUACGCGAAGAGCAAAAUAGCAAAAAAAAAAACCAAAGCGGAAGAAUGAUCGGCUCACCGGAGCGGCUCGAUGAGCAGGAGAGGACACGACGGUGCUGCGACAGGAGGUAGGAGGGAGGGGGUGCUCUUCGUCAUGCUGCGCCUCGCACAUGGGAAUCCUGUACCGCUGCGUUGUGCUUGAUCUCACCUAUUCUUUGUCCUCUCCAUCGCUGCGGGCGGAUGCUUGUGUGCACUCAUGUUAGGUCUACAGCCAUGAUCGCGGGUGAAGCAAGACGAAGAAGAAAAAAGAAGACACAGCCGCUUCUGACUCGUUCCCUGUAAGCCUCGCUCGAUGAGACAGCUCUCACCAUCAUUACACUCACACACACCCUCUUUCGUUGAUGAUAUCUCCCCCUUCCUACGCAG
rnacentral:misc_RNA from 1 species